rnacentral:rRNA from 1 species
UACGUAGGGUGCAAGCGUUGUCCGGAAUUAUUGGGCGUAAAGAGCUCGUAGGUGGCCUGUCGCGUCGGCUGUGAAAACUCGGGGCUCAACUCCGAGCUUGCAGUCGAUACGGGCAGGCUAGAGUUCGGCAGGGGAGACUGGAAUUCCUGGUGUAGCGGUGAAAUGCGCAGAUAUCAGGAGGAACCCCGGUGGCGAAGGCGGGGCUCUGGGCCGAUACUGACACUGAGGAGCGAAAGCGUGGGGAGCGAACAGG